GACGAACGCUGGCGGCGCGCCUAACACAUGCAAGUCGAACGAGAGAUGAGGAGCUUGCUCUUCAAAUCGAGUGGCGAACGGGUGAGUAACGCGUGAGGAACCUGCCUCAAAGAGGGGGACAACAGUUGGAAACGACUGCUAAUACCGCAUAAGCCCACGGCUCGGCAUCGAGCAGAGGGAAAAGGAGCAAUCCGCUUUGAGAUGGCCUCGCGUCCGAUUAGCUAGUUGGUGAGGUAAUGGCCCACCAAGGCGACGAUCGGUAGCCGGACUGAGAGGUUGAACGGCCACAUUGGGACUGAGACACGGCCCAGACUCCUACGGGAGGCAGCAGUGGGGAAUAUUGCACAAUGGGGGAAACCCUGAUGCAGCGACGCCGCGUGGAGGAAGAAGGUCUUCGGAUUGUAAACUCCUGUUGUUGAGGAAGAUAAUGACGGUACUCAACAAGGAAGUGACGGCUAACUACGUGCCAGCAGCCG
rnacentral:rRNA from 1 species